rnacentral:rRNA from 1 species
GACGAACGCUGGCGGCGUGCUUAACACAUGCAAGUCGAACGGAAAGGCCCUGCGUUUGUGGGGUGCUCGAUUGGCGAACGGGUGAGUAACACGUGAGUAACCUGUCCUUGACUGUGGGAGAACUUCAGGAAACUGGGGCUAAUACCGGAUAGGAGCUCCUGCUGCAUGGUGGGGGUUGGAAAGUUUCGGCGGUUGGGGCUGGACUCGCGGCUUAUCAGCUUGUUGGUGGGGUAGUGGCUUACCAAGGGUUUGACGGGUAGCCCGCCUGAGAGGGUGACCGGCCACAAUGGGACUGAGAGACGGACCAGAAGCCUACGGGAGGCAGCAGUGGGGAAUAUUGCAGAGUGGGCGGAAGCCUGAUGCAGCAACGCUGCGUGCGGGAUGACGGCCUUCGAGUUGUAAACCGCUUUGGCAUGUGACGUAGCGUGCGUGACGGUAAUGAGUAAGGAAGCACCGGCUAACUACGUG